CGACACGUCCCCCGGGCGCCACUGCAGAGCCUGUCCGUCAGUCCCUAGGUAUCCGCACUGCUCAGGGGAGGAUUCCCUGGGAGCACCCACCAGCUGAGAUCUGCACAUCAGCCACAAUCCUCUCAGGACGGCGGAAAGGGAAGGGCUCAGCCGCCAGCCUGGCCACAGCCUGCAUCAUCUCAUCCCAGAGGCGGAGCACAGGCUCGGGGUCCUUCAGGGCCUGAAGGAGGUAGAGCCCGGUACUCACCCAGCAAUCAUUGUUGCCUGACAAAAGUCACAGAGAAGGCUCAGUUCUUCCUUCCUAUGUGAGUAUAUCUCCACUUGGGGCCUCCCAGCCCCUCCCAGUGGUACAGCUUCUCCCCUGUGUAUCUCAAGUCAUCCAUACUUCUUAGACUCAUCCCCUCUAAACCUUAAGCAGUGUCCCAAUCCCCAUCUUCUUGAAAGUACCUGAUGAAGAAUGGAG
rnacentral:lncRNA from 1 species